rnacentral:rRNA from 1 species
AUUCUAGAGCUAAUACAUGCUAAAAACCUCGACUUCGGAAGGGGUGUAUUUAUUAGAUAAAAAACCAAUGCCCUUCGGGGCUCCUUGGUGAUUCAUAAUAACUUAACGAAUCGCAUGGCCUUGCGCCGGCGAUGGUUCAUUCAAAUUUCUGCCCUAUCAACUUUCGAUGGUAAGGUAGUGGCUUACCAUGGUCUCAACGGGUAACGGGGAAUUAGGGUUCUAUUCCGGAGAGGGAGCCUGAGAAACGGCUACCACAUCCAAGGAAGGCAGCAGGCGCGCAAAUUACCCAAUCCCGAUACGGGGAGGUAGUGACAAUAAAUACUGAUACGGGGCUCUUUCGGGUCUCGUAAUUGGAAUGAGUACAAUCUAAAUCCCUUAACGAGGAACAAUUGGAGGGCAAGUCUGGUGCCAGCAGCCGCGGUAAUUCCAGCUCCAAUAGCGUAUAUUAAAGUUGUUGCCGUUAAAAAGCUCGUAGUUGAACCUUGGACCUGGCUGAUCUGUCCUCCUAAUCGAGCGUACGGAUUCGGUCGGGUCUUUUCUUCUGGGGAGCCUUAUGCCCUUUACUGGGUGUAAUGGGGAACCAGGACUUUUACCUUGAAAAAAUUAGAGUGUUCAAAGCAGGCCUUUGCUCGAAUACAUUAGCAUGGAAUAAUAGAAUAGGACAUCGGUUCUAUUUUGUUGGUUUCUAGGACCGCUGUAAUGAUUAAUAGGGAUAGUCGGGGGCGUCCGUAUUCAAUUGUCAGAGGUGAAAUUCUUGGAUUUAUUGAAGACGAACUACUGCGAAAGCAUUCGCCAAGGAUGUUUUCAUUAAUCAGUGAACGAAAGUUAGGGGAUCGAAGACGAUCAGAUACCGUCGUAGUCUUAACCAUAAACUAUGCCGACUAGGGAUCGGACGGUGGUUUUUUUAUGCCCCGUUCGGCACCUUACGAGAAAUCAAAGUGUUUGGGCUCGGGGGGGAGUAUGGUCGCAAGGCUGAAACUUAAAGAAAUUGACGGAAGGGCACCACAAGGCGUAAACAGCCGUAGUUAACUCUGCGCCGAAAAGGCACCUAGACACAAAUAGGUCGUGGACAGUCCUCCACCUCUGGUGGGAAAAAGCCUAGUUAACCCUUACUGCUUCCCUGGAAGUAAACAGGCCUGCUGUGGUAAGGUUGGCGAGACCGUCAAAUUGCGGGGAAGCUUCAUAACCACUGAUUACCGCUAGCCAGUCCGAAAGGUUGGUUAAGCACCCGGGUAACGCCCAGGGGUAUGGUCAUAAUGUUAGUGGUGAAGUUAUCCGCAGCUAAGCUCCUGCGGGGCGGUAAAUCUUUUAUUGCCUACGGAGAAAGUUCAGAGACUAGACGGCGGUCGGUCCCAAUAGAACAUUUGGAAAGGAGUUUUAUAAAUUUAAGCAGCCAGAGGGUUAGGUUGUGACAGUUUAGUUUUCUUUCCUACCGGUUCCAUAAUGGGGCUUAAGGUAUAGUCCGCUUACUACAUUGCACGUGCAACCGUUAAUAAAUGGGAGCCUGCGGCUUAAUUUGACUCAACACGGGGAAACUCACCAGGUCCAGACAUGCUUAGGAUUGACAGAUUGAUAGCUCUUUCUUGAUUGUAUGGGUGGUGGUGCAUGGCCGUUCUUAGUUGGUGGAGUGAUUUGUCUGCUUAAUUGCGAUAACGAACGAGACCUUGACCUGCUAAAUAGCCCGAUUGACUUUUGUCGGUCGCCGGCUUCUUAGAGGGACUUUUGGCUCAAGCCAAUGGAAGUACGAGGCAAUAACAGGUUAACCUUAUGGGUUACGUGCAAACCAUAUCACAGGCCUGAGGAGGGGCCUUGUACAUUGAUUCCAUAGGGGUUUAAUUGGUUCCCCGUUAUCAAAAACUACCUUCUAGUUGAUCCUCAGUCCUCCUGGUAGAAGCCUACUCUAGUCGGGGGAGGGCACCGAAAGGUGUAUGAGGCAGCGAGACAACCUGGUUCAUGGAACGGCCACUGGCCCGAUCAUGAUGCGAGCAGGAGUAGCGUCCUGCCGUGGCAACGCGUGCAAAGGUGUCGGUUCCGCCAUUAAGACGGGGCUUAAGGUACAUGCUAAUCCUCCAGGCAACUGGGGGCUGCUACGAUGAGACCCGACAGUCAAAGCGUAGCAGGCGUCUUCUCGAAGGCGUGCACGAUAUGGAAGUGUCAUUGAAAUUAUUUCGGAUGGCUACUUCCUAUUGUUUAAUGCUGUGAUGCCCUUAGAUGUUCUGGGCUGCACGCGCGCUACACUGACAGAGCCAGCGAGUACAUCACCUUGGCCGAAAGGUCUGGGUAAUCUUGUUAAACUCUGUCGUGCUGGGGAUAGAGCAUUGCAAUUAUUGCUCUUCAACGAGGAAUGCCUAGUAAGCGCAAGUCAUCAGCUUGCGUUGAUUACGUCCCUGCCCUUUGUACACACCGCCCGUCGCUACUACCGAUUGAAUGGCUCAGUGAGGCCUUGGGACUGGCUCAGAAAGGUCGGCAACGACCAUCAGAGCCGGAAACUGUC